rfam:Angiostrongylus cantonensis strain Taiwan genome assembly, scaffold: ACAC_contig0011415
GGGGGUAUAGCUCAGUGGUAGAGAAUUCGACUGCCGAUCCAGAGGUCCGUUGUUCAAAUCCGUGUGCCCCUU